UUUAGGGGUGGGCGUGGGUGUGAUGAAGGCACGUUUCAUUAGUUUACAAAAUCAAAGAAAAUUAUAAAAAGACAUGCACAUGGGUAAAUUGCAUUCCUAGCUACGUCACUUGAUAUUCACCUAACAGGAUGGAGCUGUCGCUAUAUCCAUAUGAAAUAUAUAAACAAAUAUACCAUGUUCUUCCCCAUCCCCCAUCUGCCUCACCCUUCAAAUCCAUCUCAUCAUCAGCUGCUCAGCUAAUCGCGA
rnacentral:lncRNA from 1 species